rnacentral:rRNA from 1 species
AUUGAACGCUGGCGGCAUGCUUUACACAUGCAAGUCGAACGGCAGCGCGGGCUUCGGCCUGGCGGCGAGUGGCGAACGGGUGAGUAAUACAUCGGAACGUGCCCAGUAGUGGGGGAUAGCUCGGCGAAAGCCGGAUUAAUACCGCAUACGACCUGAGGGUGAAAGCGGGGGAUCUUCGGACCUCGCGCUAUUGGAGCGGCCGAUGGCAGAUUAGCUAGUUGGUGGGGUAAAGGCCUACCAAGGCGACGAUCUGUAUCUGGUCUGAGAGGACGACCAGCCACACUGGGACUGAGACACGGCGCAGACUCCUACGGGAGGCAGCAGUGGGGAAUUUUGGACAAUGGGCGAAAGCCUGAUCCAGCAAUGCCGCGUGUGUGAUGAAGGCCUUCGGGUUGUAAAGCACUUUUGGCGGGAACGAAAAGGACUGUGCCAAUACCACGGUUCGAUGACGGUACCCUCAGAAUAAGCACCGGCUAACUACGUG